rnacentral:rRNA from 1 species
UACGUAGGAUGCAAGCGUUGUCCGGAAUUAUUGGGCGUAAAGAGCGCGCAGGCGGUAUGACAAGUCAGAUGUGAAAGAGGCCGGCUUAACCGGCAAGGGUCAUUUGAAACUGUCAGACUAGAGUGCAGCAGAGGAUAGUGGAAUUCCCGGUGUAGUGGUGAAAUGCGUAGAUAUCGGGAGGAACACCAGUGGCGAAGGCGACUAUCUGGGGCUGCAACUGACGCUGAGGCGCGAAGGCUAGGGUAGCAAACAGG